UAUUCCAAAUCGCCGUCGUUUUAAAGCCAUAUAGGCGUCACAAACCGCCUGUUCUCGUUAUGAUAUCCACGAUCGAUUCAAAGGUUACCAUCAGCAGUAGCAGCGCCAACGUGAUGAGGGAUCUCGGAUCACCCGCAUAGUGGAUUAUAGGAGCUGCUGCGUUUGAGUGAUCAGGUUACGCGAAUGACCGGUAUGUUGGUCUCUCUAGUAGUGAUUGGCAAGUUUUGUAAUGUUAUAACAGCUGACCCCGUUGUAAGACCCAGAGAAUAGUGCUUAGCCGUAUCGCCAUUUGGGUUGAUCGUGCCCAAGUGAAAUUAGGCCACACAUUUUCGAUAUGUCUCUAAGUGUUGUUAGAAAUCCUCUGUCUCAGGAUCGACCAGUGUUGAUUCUAUGGAACUUACCAGUAAGGAAUCCGCAUUGUCGCCGAAAGCUCCUGUGCCAUCAUGGUAAACGUUUGCGCUCUAACCCUUAAGCGAUCUGUGAAUUUUAGAGUCGAACGUGAGGCACAAAACCCGCAUGAUGACAUUUGGUGACUUGACAUAGCGACACGACAUCCAGACUAUAUUGUUACUUUAGAACUGCGUCACUGGUGAAAUCCCUUGUACCACGCCAAAGGAAAGCAGCUAAGGAAGAACACCAUUCUCUAGCUGAAUCAGGGUGACUAUUUUUGAAGGUAGAAGUUCUAAGGCUUAACGUUGACGCAAAUUGGAUGGCCUGGAGAACAUUCGUGCAUUGUUUAGAGUUGAUGGUUCGGAUGCUCAGCAAACGGUUUGGUGAGACGCUUAGGGGUGUUAAGGAGGGACAAUCAGCAGCGACGAAUAUGUCAUGUAAGCCGAGGAUAUCAGCCCGAUUUCGGCUGGUCGCUAAAUUAUCAGGACAUACAUGAGUUGCGCAUCGCCAGUGUUUCAGUAAUGAUGGGGUAUCAAUAAACCACGAUUCCAGCAAAAAUCGCGGAGAUUUUUAUGAGCACACUCACGUCACGCACAACACUCAACGUUAACGACAGGUUUCUCCAAGCCAGCUAGCAUCUCACCCCAUAACUUCAAACAGGGCAUCGAUGCCGUCCAUACUGUUCGUAUCUUCUCGACCGAAAUGGUCAUUCGUUAGAAGCGUCUUUGCCAAGUCAGACUUCACGUCAUUAAUGGCGACGGCAGCAAUGAGCGCCAGGAGAUGAACCCAUUUGCGAAGACUGAUCAGUUUUCACCAGAUGAGUGCAAGUAGAACGACGUAACUAGAAGGAACUUGUGAACAGUCGAGAUAUCCGUGGAUGGACGUAUGUAACUCAAACAAGUGAAUUUAGAGAGAACGCCAAAAGCAUGCAGUCAUGUGAUCGUGUAUGCCAUUUACGCUAUAUCAGCAUAAAUAGACCUUAUGAGCACCUAGCUAAUAUUAUGCGUAGGCAGUAUUUCUUCAGAUACAGUGGUUGCUUGAAAGAAAAUGGUUAGGUGCAUGUUUAGACAAUCGUUACGCGAGUAAGGCGUAUGCUAGACUGAUAUUUGUGAGAAGUGUGACCGUCAAAGAAAGGAGAUUUUAUUAUAAGAAACACGUCGACAGAGACAGUGACGCGCAGUAAAGAUAUUUGUAACUAAUUUUCUACGGGCACGGGUUUACAGCACCUUUGAGCAGUUACGUGAUGCCUUGUAGCUACAGUGUAGGCAUCCAUUUGAACCUUCGAGAGCGGCAACUCGCCCGAUAUACGACCGCUUAUGGUCAGUCGCACGCGUGACAAAGCCCGAAACGAUCGUCGUGUGCGUUCCGGUAUUAGAGAAAAUUUCCGAAGACAUGUUACUAGCGCUGUCAAAGGAUCUGCGCAAAUAUUACAGAAAGCUCACCUCAUCGAGAGAUGGCGCAAACAACCCACUGCGUUAUCUGGUUCGUUGGGGGCCAAAGUAACACGUACUCUCCACUAACACGUUACAAAAAAUGAAUCUGGCGCUAAUUAUUCCGCUUAGUCAGCUCAAGGUAUCCUCAUUGUGGGCCGAUUGCAUUAUAAGAUACACAUGGGUAAAGCUCAUCGGCUGUGGCAAAAGACUAUAAAAAGGAACGUCUACGACGUGGAGAGCUAGCAAUCUAGCUUCGACCGAAAGCAAAAAGGUAUCCGAGUCGCAGGCGCGAAGGAUUUCGUGCCAUAACUCGUACGUUGUUUGCCGUCGCUUAAAAGAAGAUCGAAGACGCAGUCACGAAGAGCUGAAGCAUUGAUGCGCACUUGAUGUCUGUUGCCGUCGGCGUCGACUGUCAGGGUACUCAGUGGGCCCAUCGGUUGUUGUAGAAGACCAACAAUCGGCGAGGUGUCCAUCGGAAGUGCAAAACGAGCCAUUGGGGCUACGGGUCUUUACCGUUAUCCUUCAUGAGAUCCGAUCCAUAUAUGCGGCCUAGAUAGUGCGAACUGAAACCUUAAUCUUAGGUUGGCGCUGGGCGCAUGUUGGUUAGAAGUUAGGUUUAAGGCAGAUUUUGGUUAUAUUAGCUACUUCGAUAUUUUUCCAAAAUGUUGGGGUAUCUAUUUUAAUUUCGUCAUGAAAACGUUUGAAACGCUAACAGUUAAAUAUAAGCGAAUUAUAUAUAUAAUUUUUUUUUUUAGUUUAGCAUUAGUCGUAGUUGUUAUUUUAACAUGGGUACUAUUAUAAGGGUAGGCAUACACUAAACAGAUAUAGGAAUACUAAGAAUCUGGCAAAAGUCAAAAAUAAAAAACGCGCAACUGAGUGAGGAUGUACUAUCGAAUAAGGCAAAAAGGGCCCAAGUGGGAUCAAAGCUGAACGAUACGAGAAAUGACUGGCUUGGGCGUUGUAGGGUGCCCACCUCUCCAGAAAGGAAGUAUGUUGCAAGCGACGCGUUACAGGUAGAGCGACCGUGAUCGACACACGGAUCAACAUCCCCAGCUAUGCCAGCGUGAUGAGUCAUUUCAGUUUUGCCUUCAUGGGCCUACCAUGGUUAUUGUGAUUUCCCGUACGCAGCGCACGCCGCAUAGCUGCAAAAUCUCUCAAAUAGAAACUAGCGGGUCAAAGAGUUUCGCAUAGGCACUCAAAGCCUAAUUAGCCGUAAGAAUUUGGAAAUAACACUUCAUAGUUUCGCCAAGCAGAUCAUCCGUGCCCAAAUGAAACAGGGACAUAAAUUGUCUGUUAUUUUCGGCACUCAGGCUCAUCUAAUACGGCAGCUAUAAUCGACGUUGUUUACUUCAUAGUGUCAUAAAAAUCACGAAUGAAAAAAAAAUCUGCGAUAUUGUUCAACAUCGGCAAGCCAUUAUGUACAAGCGUUUACUAGCCGUAUUUCUUAAGCAAUCUCUGACAAAGGUGAUCGCCUAAGAUUUAUUAGAAAUAGGUUUGUCAACAGGUUAACAUCAUUCUGCUCGACAUUACAAUGUGUAGCAUUUCAUCUGCGCGAUACCUAGGGGAGGUUUGCAUCCAGACCGGUUAGGUUGAUUCUGUUGGAAGCACAUUCGGCGGUAGGUUUAUCGGGAUAGUAAAAACGAGGUGGGGUCUCUAUCUGCCCUAAUGGCUCUUCAAAGGAUAGUAAUGCAAUAGCCUCUUGGAUGCUCGUUUACAAAGAAUGGGGCCUGAUUGAUAUUCAUGGCUGCGUCCUGUAGCAAGGUUUUUGCUACUGCUGCUGCCAUGCCUUAUUUUCUUUUGAGAACACGCUAGGGGGCCACGCGUACGUGGGGGUCGAAAGAAGAUACCCAAAAGGGCUUUAACUCGCCCCAUAUAAUGCGCUUCUAUGGCCUAGAUCGCCAGCACUGCCACGAAACAAACAGCCGUCUUGGGAGUACGGCAAAUCCUUAAAGGUGUAAGAUUUGAUAGCAUAGUGUAAGCGCGGUAUCUAAUAAACAAGUGUAAUAAGCCAGCUUGUGCUAUAUUCACUAAUGACCUAAUAGGCACGUUGAUUUAAAAAUGUCAACUGUAUUGUUUUUUUAAAGGUAAAACAAAACGACCACGUAACAUUAUGUAACGACAUUAUACUAACUAUUUAUUAUUAAAUUAUACUAAAAAGGUAACCUAAUUGUAAGAGAAAGUUCAUAUAACUGCUAUAAUGCCAGCUCGUGUGUUAUAAUCGUUCUUCAGCACACCUCACGCUACAUAGGCAAUACAAGAUCGUACUUCUCUGAUUACCGAGAUGUUAUUACAGCCUCAGAACUGUCAAUGAAUCGAAGGGUAAUUUUUUAGUUAGGAUUAAUCAUUGACGAGACGAUCACCAAAGCAUGACGAGUCAAUUUCCAUCAUGUCAGAAUAAAAACAAAUAAGGAAAAAACGUUUUUCAUCCGAAUAAAGAUAAAAUCUCCAUCAUAGGUCAUGUAAGUUACCAGUCAGCAGUGCAUAUGCUUUUAAAAUGUCGGCACCGUUGUUAUGCCCGUACGUCGAACACUCUACGUUUCGAAUUUUCAGUCCGGUACCGCUUUUAAGCAUUCCAUUAAAGCACUGAAUCCUAUCCGAACUCGGAUAUAUUCGUACUAACGCGAUAAUGUUCUACGGAAGGUGUUGUUCAAGGAAGUGUUAGCUUGUGCACCCCAACGUAUAAGGAAUGCGGAUCUCGAAUUGGUUCAUUGCGCAUAAAAAAAUAGCUUUUAAUCCAUUCAAGUCUAAGACAAUUUUCAUUUGUAUCCAGAGCAAAACAUAUCGAACUUCGGGAAAAGUGAAGAAACAUAGAAAACACUCACAGUUUCUGUGCCCGAUAGAUUACUAGAGUAAGCCAAAAUGGCGCUGCAGACUAUUUUUUGAAUUGAAACCGGGCAGCAGUUGGAUGACGCGCCAAAAGUUGAAAGAAAUCUAUUUCCUCGUUUGUAGUUCCAUGUAACUAUCUGUGAAAUUACGAAUUAUUUUCCGUUAUUGCUUGUCAAUUCUGCAAUACUGUUGUAUUUAUUUGAUGGUUUGCCGUAGAACGAACAGGGACCAAAAACCAUUCGUCAUAUACCCUGCCAGCGCUAGUUCCAUGAGCAAUCGGUAAACAAUUUGUUAGCGUUAACAAAGUGAGAACGGAUGCUACGUCAGUUAUGCUCCAAACCUUUUUAACUAGCAGCGGUGCCCUAACGUGUUUCUGUGGUUAUCCUUCUGUUUAGCUAGUGGCUAGAUAUUAGAAUAUACUCCACUGAUAAAUCAGGUCCGCAGCUAUAGUAAGUUCAACGAAAUCGCUGCGAAGCGAUGCAGUUCGAUAACGUGAAGGCCAUCAGAAAUAAAAUGCGUUACUGUACUUUGGAUACGCCAUGCGUCUUAUUGAUAUCGCAUACGAAGACAUCAAAGGCUGCCCGAAAAGAUUAAGAGGUAAACUUCGAGACUCAUUCGAAUACUUAUUUUGCAUGCGCGGGCUGUUCUCGCCCACAAAACUGGACUGCUCAUGUUAUAGACUCACGGAGACUGCACAGCAUGUCAUCGUCUCUUCCCAAUGCUGAAGGUAGCGACUGAAGCUGGACGUGGGGUCCACUGUCUUAUGACCAAAGAUGACCGCCAGAAACUGUACGAAGAAAACCAAAAAGCUCUCGGAGAUCCUGUUGAUGGCGGCACUCCUACUGUGUGCUUCUUCCACCUCUUCCCACGUCCCUGAGUUUCCCUAAAACGAACUUACCUAGAAGCCAAAAGCCAGCAAAUUCUCUUAUGCGGUCACCACCAGCGGCUCCCGAAUACCGCACUAUCAACCACUGGAGUCGCAGUUCGGUGUCAGAGGCUCUGAGCUUCUUUUUCGGCGUCGGACUAGACGUGACUAACAUUGUUAUGGAUCGAUUUUUGUUAUCUGUCUUCAGUGCUGGCACAGCAUUAUGGCAAGGAAGACUUAGAA
rnacentral:lncRNA from 1 species